GAUGAACGCUGGCGGCGUGCUUAACACAUGCAAGUCGAACGGAAAGGCUCCUGCUUGCCGGGGUACUCGAGUGGCGAACGGGUGAGUAACACGUGGGUGAUCUGCCCUGCACUUCGGGAUAAGCCUGGGAAACUGGGUCUAAUACCGGAUAGGACGAUGGUUUGGAUGCCAUUGUGGAAAGUUUUUCGGUGUUGGAUGAGCUCGCGGCCUAUCAGCUUGUUGGUGGGGUAAUGGCCUACCAAGGCGUCGACGGGUAGCCGGCCUGAGAGGGUGUAAGGCCACAGUGGGACUGGGAAACGGCCCAGAGGCAUACGGGAGGCAGGAGUGGGGAAUAGAGCACGAUGGGCGCAAGCAGGAUGGAGGGACGCCGGGUGGGGGAUGACGGCCUUCGGGUUGUAAAAUACUUGCGAUAGGGACGAAGCGCAAGUAACGGUACCUGGAGAAGAAGCACCGGCUAACUACGG
rnacentral:rRNA from 1 species